rnacentral:rRNA from 1 species
GAUGAACGCUGGCGGUGUGCCUAAUACAUGCAAGUCGAGCGGUAAGGUCUCUUCGGAGAUACACGAGCGGCGGACGGGUGAGUAACGCGUAAGAAUGUACCCCAAAGUGAGGGAUAAGCACCAGAAAUGGUGUCUAAUACCGCAUGUGCUCUUCGGAGUAAAGCUUCGGCGCUUUGGGAACAGCUUGCGUAUGAUUAGCUAGUUGGUAAGGUAAUGGCUUACCAAGGCGACGAUCAUUAGCGGGUCUGAGAGGAUGAUCCGCCACACUGGGACUGAGACACGGCCCAGACUCCUACGGGAGGCAGCAGUAGGGAAUUUUCCACAAUGGGGGCAACCCUGAUGGAGCAACACCGCGUGCAGGAUGAAGGCCUUCGGGUUGUAAACUGCUUUUAUCUGUGACGAAUAUGACGGUAGCAGACGAAUAAGGAUCGGCUAACUACGUGCCAGCAGCCGCCGUAA